rnacentral:lncRNA from 1 species
GUCUUUGCAGAAUUCCUUUCUGUAUAAUUAUUCUUUUGAUCAUGCUACACAUGAAAAGAAAAGCAACCGGGGGUAUGAAUCAUGUCCUUGUUUCACUUGGAAUUAAGAACUGAGGCAGGCUGAGGAGUCUGGGAGAACUGCUGGUCUGAGGGAGGUGGCUCUCCCUUCUUAAUUGACAGACUGGGUGCACGUCCUCAACUGUGUCCUCAGAGGAGACCUCCAAACUUCCACCUUCCAUCCAUCGGUUGUCCUGCGUAGCUCCAUUUCUGGGUGUGAGGCUGCAGUUAAGUGCAGUCUGAACUUGCUCCACUGUGCGUGUGGGAACUCUUCAUUGUUCCUCAGCAAACAAAUUAGGUAACUGGACUCCACUGGGACUUUUACUGAAACGUCGCAGGAAUUUUCUCACUGGUUUGAUGCAAAGGGGAUUGAGCGCUUAAUCUGACCUGUGCCUUUGACGCUUUCAGCAUUACUGGUCUACAAGGGGAGUUUGUGGAUACAUUCAGGAGAGUACUCAAGUAAACAGCUUCAGGAAGACUGAAAACAUUGAGACUUUUAUACCUUUUCAUAAAUAUAAUAUGAAGUAAGCUACUUUUCUUCGUGAAGUCUUAUAAUUUUAGAACAAGCAAUAGAAAGUUGGGGAGUGCAUACAUCCUAAAAACUCUUGGUCUGGUGCUUGCGUUGUUAUUGAGUUCUCCUCAAAACAAAGAGCAAACUAACUCCUUCGGGGCACAGAAGUUUCUGUGGCCAGGGUGGUGAUGAGCUGCAGCUUUCUGCUCAAUCACACUCAUAUGGGCACCAAUAGCAAGGCCAUAAACCAAGGAGUCAUAGCCAAAAGCCAGAAGGAGCUGCACUCUGAAGUGAACAACAAAACCCAAACAUCUAUGUUGUAACUGAAGCCAAACAUGUCCAAAAAUAGACCUAAUGAACUACUUUAAACCAGCAUGAUACCUACAUAAUUUCUAAAAUGAUUAAACAAAGCAAACUAGAGCUUCAGAAAAUUCCACAAACUUAACCUGAAACAAACCAAGUGCCCAUUGGUUUGGCUCUGUGUACUGGUGUUGUUUAUGGGAUCCCAGCAGGAAAUGAAGGGUUUGGAUCUUGCUCUUAUGUUGACCUUUACAACGACGACUGUCCCAAGAACUCUGACUCAGGCAGCAAACAUUAAGGGGCAAUACCUGUUUUAUUGUCAGACAGAGAUCCAGACCCCAAAGGACAGUGUUUCCCACCCUUAGCGCUAUUGAGAGUGUCAUCAGCAUUGUUUCAAAAAGGCUUCCCAAUAGAUACUGGAAAGAAAAGCCAUACAUUUAUCUCCUCAGAAGGAUCGUCUAGUAGCUAGUUAACUCCUCAUUUCAUCGUUGGUGUCUCUACUAAAGCAACCCUUAAGUUGGAAAGACCAUGUGUACUGUUAUCCUGAGGCAGACCUAAGGAAAACAUGGUAAAUUAUAGAAGACACACACCCUUAUUAAAACUUUUUAUAAAAACUUUACUUCACACCAAUUUAUGGCAUUGGUGAUAAAAUGAUUCCAGAAUCUUGUGACCAGGCAUACAGUAUUUAUCUUCAUGUUCUGAAAACAGUGGCAGAAAUAUUUCAACCCAUUUGAGUCUAAUAGUGUUUCUAGUUCACUGUGUAGGGAGAUGCUGUUUGAUCCAGGCUGCCUACGUAGCCCACAGUGAAUUAUUAUAUAUUAGAGUGUUAUUUCAGGAGAAUUAGACAUCUUAAUUAUAACUUUUUUUUUAGUUUGUGUGUAUAUAGCUUAUGCCUCUGAAGCGAAAUUUAUAGUUAUUCUGUGCUUCGAUGAGACUUUUCAUUUUUAUACAUUAUACCAGUACCUUUCUCUUGGCAGUUUUUAUUUGGGAGGAAGACUCAUUUGUACAUCAGAGCAUUAUUUGGAACAAUGGGUUUUGCCGAGAUUAUAAUGUGGUAAUAGCAUUUAAAAUUGAGCUGUGCCAAAGCAUUGCAAAAAAUAAUAAUAAGUCCACUAAAUAUAUAACACUGACACAGACAGUUCAUCAGCUUUUUUUUUUUUUAAUACUGUGAAAAACAAACCAAAUUUUCUAUUUUUUUGUUUUUGGCUGUAAGGAAAACAUGGGGAAAGAAUAAGCACAGUAUAAAAUUGAACAGCUAAUCGAGUUUUCCAAAUGGUUUGUUUUAAUGGUGAUUUAGCAUUCUAAGGCACAGACUGUUAGCUUUUGUUUGGCUUUGGUCUUUAAUGUAGAUUAUAAAUCACGCUGCUGUAUAGCAACAAAGAAACAAGUUAUUGGUUAAUAUUUCCUCAUACGAUGUCACUGAUGAUGAUGCCUAUGAAGCUGAUCGUAACAAGCAACACUCCCGUAAUCGCAGUUGAUCACACAACCACUCUGUUCAGAAUCAAUCGUUUUCCUAUUUUGCCAAAGAGAAAAGUGCAGCUUAGAAAUGUUCAGAAGACAUGAGCAGGUGGACGGUGGCAGGGUCAGGGAGUGAGGACUAUAAUAUUGGAAAACUUACUGGUAUACCUGCAUCCUUGACCAUCAUUCUGCUCUAUGACAUGCCCACCAUUGUGCUCUAAGUUGCAGAUGCCAUUAUUCCAUUUUCUUAGGAUAAAAAAAAAAAAAAAAAAAAA